AUAUCUUCUGUCAACGUCCGAAAUAUGUGGAGGUGGUCCAAGAACUACUUAUACUUAUAGACAUGGGGACCAGAAAUAUACACAUGACAUAAUUUGCAUUUAUUCAUAGCGCCAGCCAGCAUAAUCAUUGUGUUUAAGCGUGAUAGGCCAUUUUACAUGGAGACAAUGCGCAAUUUUAGACGAAUUCGUUUGAGGAUCCAAAAGAGGGAAAUUAUUACUUUUAUUCAGUGUUGAUUCUUGUAUUUGGAAGGAUUGGAGAAGGGUUUUCUUUAAUGGAACACUCGGCGUCUAAUAGUGAAUAUAGACAGUUACCAAUGCAGCUCCGAAUUUACAACAAUUAGUACGACAAGAGGUUUAUGAAUUAUUGUAAUUGAACCAAGAUUUAGAAACUGUGAAAUGUCGAAAAAUUAUCAAC